rfam:Schistosoma rodhaini strain Burundi genome assembly, scaffold: SROB_scaffold0012353
CUGCAGCUGACGAGUCCCAAAUAGGACGAAACGCGCGUCCUGGAU